GUGAAACAAUGCAAUUUUUUAUUUUCAGUUAUUUGUAUUUGACAGUUGCAUUAUUCAUUUGUGACUCACUGUACAGUUGUGCUCAUAAGUUUGCAUACCCUGGAAGAAAUUGUGGAAUUCUGGCAUUCAUUUUUUUAAAUAAGACUGAUCAUGCAAAAAAAAAAAAAAAAUAUUUAAGGAUUGUGAUCAUAUGAAGCCAUUUAUUACCACAUGUUAGUUUGGCUCCAUGUUAAAUCAUAAUGAUAAAAGCAAUCACCCAAAUGGCCCUGAUCAAAAGUUUACAUACCCUUGAAUGUCAUUAGACACACAAGAUGACACACACAGGUAAAAAUUGCAAUUAAAGUUGAAUUUCCCACACCUAUUUAAAUUGCAAUUAGUGUCUGUGUAUAAAUAGUCAAUACGUUUGUUAGCUCUCACGUGGAUGCACUGAGCAGGCUAGAUACUGAGCCAUGGGGAGCAGAAAAUAACUAUCAAAAGACCUGCGUAACAAGGUAAUGGAACUUUAUAAAGAUGGAAAAGGAUGUAAAAAGAUAUCCAAAGCCUUGCAAAUGCCAGUCGGUACUGUUCAAUCACUUAUUAAGAAGUGGAAAGUCUGGGAUCUCUUGAUACCAAGCCAAGGUCAGGUAGACCAAGAAAGAUUUCAACCAAAACUGCCAGAAGAAUUGUUGGGGAUACAAAGAAAAACCCACAGAUAACCUCAAGAGAAAUACAGGCUGCUCGGGAACAUCAAUUCACAAUGUAUAAUUCAGAAUAUCUCCAUACAUAGUUUUCAACUCACAAAAAAAUAAACGGAGAACGGAAACAAACUGCCUUUAAAUAAAAGCAACAUGAAGACCGUCACACAUUAUAUAGUGUAAUCACAUAAAAUGCACACUGGGGCUAUACCUUCAGCAUUUCAAACAAAAUCACAUCAUUUAACCAAAGGUGGUGGUGGUGGGAACGACAUAAGUUGGACAUGCUCUUGCGUGUCCAUCCGACCCUGUCAGAGAUCACCUUCUCUAUAACUAAUUUCUGUUAGAAAAAAUACAAGAUGCCAGGUACUGUAGACCUGAUCUGUAGCUGGACCUUGAAUCUCACUCCUGGCCCUUGGUGAAUCACAUGAAUCCCUCAUGACUUUGACUAAAGAGAUCCCUGACUGCCGUGGCAAGAAAAAGUAAAAACACAUUACAUCCCAGGAGAGUGGAAGAUUAUCAGAUUUCAUGUACACACAGGUGGCGAAAAAGAAAACAUACUUAAAAAACGAUUAGAAAACGGACCUCCAGUCUGUUCAGGGCGUUGCGUGUCAGACCUGGUUGACUACUGUGUGCACAGAGCCAGACACGGAAGAAAACAGUAGAGGCUGAACAAACCUAUAGUACCAUGCAAUCAAGUAUCGUGUGUCCUUAUUUCAUGCAACAUGCGUGCAAUAGUAAACAGGUAAACAAAAUGCAUCAUACAUCAUUCCUACAUAACAAUUAGGAAGUGCCAUAAAUGGGUCAUUGAGUAAAACCUUUAAAACAAUGCAGUGUUGAUUUGUUCAGACUGUGACACAAUAGCUACACCGUACAAGGUAUCAAAGAGUGAUUUCAUCAAGUAGAAAUACAGGAUUAAAAAAUACUGUCUGUUUUAAUUACAUAGCAUUUUCGUUCACUGUAAACAAUUCUGACCGGCUUUGUGAGCAAGCAUGUCUUAUACCCAGUAACUUGCUUUCACCACCACUGACUUCUGGAGCAGUUCAUAAAAUCUGAAAAUAUAUAGGUGGUCCUUACCUAUCAAAGCACCACCCCUCUCAUUGGUCAUAUACAUAGAGUUAAAUAACAAGUACCAAUAUUGACACAAUAUUAACCAUCAGGACUACUGUAGUGUAUUAAAUGACCAUACUCAGUGUUCAAAAGAGAUUUGAAUUGAAGACAAGCAUCACCCUGGAAUUAUCAGGGGCCCAUUCUUACAGCCAUGGUUGGUCACAUCGCAUGUGGCUCAGGUCAGUUGGUUGCACUACAAAACAUCCAUCAAGUACAAUAAUUAUGAAUUGGGCACUAACAGAUUUAGAUAUCAAAAUAUACAGUAUACACAAAUACAUGUACAGUACAAAGGCAUUAAACUAGCACAUUUCUUUGCUAUUAACGCCCAGGGUUCAGGCUGAGGGUACGGGGAGUCACUCCAUUGCUGCUAUCAACUCACUAGGACAUCAGUUUGAAAAAACAACAACCUGGAGUCAAAAUAUAAUUUUCCUUAGUGCAUUUCACCCCAGUGUAAACAACAGACUGAAAAUAAGAAUGGGUUUGUUACUUGAAGGUGUUACCUGGACAGCUGUAUGCCAGGAUGCAGCUUAAAUAGGUCUUAAAGCAGUACUAACUGUGCUUUCUCCUAACACGAUGAUGCCAACCACUGUCUGUGUGGCACGUGGAGGCACUAUUUUAAAUUAAUAAAACCUUUGUGCUUUUGAAGUGUACUAAAAUGUGCCAAUUGCCAAGCUACACCCUUGUUCAACUGACUUAAAUCCAGUAACGAUUUCAGCGAAAUAAAUAAAACCUGUUGCCAUGAGUUUCAGUACUGAAGAACCAGGAAGCCAAGGAGAGUGGACACGGUCAAGGGUAAAUUACUAGAAUGGUUAGGACAGAAUAUUGUGCAAAAUCUUCACCAGUAAAAAAAAAACUAAAAUAGUUGUCUGCCUUUCAUGUGAAAUAAUAGCUUUCAAAACUAAGAUUUGAGUAAAUACCCUCUGAUUAAAUGAGAUUUGCACUUGAAUGCUUGAAAAUAAUGACUUUGAAGGAUCCUCCAUUUCCCUGCUACUGUUAUGCCCGAAAGCAAGGAAAUAAGAGCUGUGGUCACAAAAAAAUACAAAUGUAUGGCUUAAGAGAACACAAGGCAGAUAGCUAAUAAAUUUUUUCUGUGAUGCCUUUAAAUCAACCAAAACAUGAUUAUAUGAUUCCAAAUAUACUUGUAGUAUAACUAUAAAGUCCUAGCUUUCAAG
ensembl:lncRNA